CCCUUAGAUGUUCUGGGCUGCACGCGUGCUACAAUGGCGCUUGCAACAAGUCUUGCCAACCCGAUAGGGUGAGCGGAUCUUUGAAGAGGCGUCGUGAUCGGGACAGUUGAUUGCAAUUAUUCGACUCGAACGAGGAAUUCCUUGUAAUCGCGAUUCAUCAUAUCGCGCUGAUUACGUCCCUGCCCUUUGUACACACCGCCCGUCGCUCCUACCGAUUGGGUGUGCUGGUGAAAUGUUCGGAUCGGCCGUUUGUCGCGGUUUCCGCGUCAUGUGGCUGAGAAGUUCAUUAAACCCUCCCACCUAGAGGAAGGAGAAGUCGUAACA
rnacentral:rRNA from 1 species